AUUAUCAAGAACGAAAGUUAGAGGUUCGAAGGCGAUCAGAUACCGCCCUAGUUCUAACCAUAAACGAUGCCAGCCAGCGAUCCGGCUGUGUUCCUCAAAUGACACGCCGGGCAGCUUCCGGGAAACCAAAGCUUUUGGGUUCCGGGGGAAGUAUGGUUGCAAAGCUGAAACUUAAAGGAAUUGACGGAAGGGCACCACCAGGAAUGGAGCCUGCGGCUUAAUUUGACUCAACACGGGAAAACUUACCCGGCCCGGACACAGGAAGGAUUGACAGAUUAAGAGCUCUUUCUUGAUUCUGUGGGUGGUGGUGCAUGGCCGUUCUUAGUUGGUGGAGCGAUUUGUCUGGUUAAUUCCGAUAACGAACGAGACUCUAGCCUACUAAAUAGACGUUCCGAUCAUCUCCGUCGGACGUUCUUCUUAGAGGGACAAGCGGCGUUUAGCCGCACGAGACAGAGCAAUAACAGGUCUGUGAUGCCCUUAGAUGUCCGGGGCCGCACGCGCGCUACAUUGAAGGAAUCAGCGUGUGCUUUCCCUGUCCGACAGGACUGGGUAACCCGUUGAACCUCCUUCGUGCUGGGGAUAGGGGCUUGUAAUUGUUCCCCUUGAACGAGGAAUUCCCAGUAAGCACGAGUCAUAAGCUCGUGUUGAUUACGUCCCUGCCCUUUGUACACACCGCCCGUCGCUACUACCGAUUGAAUGAUUUAGUGAGGUCUUCGGACUGGCGCCCGGAGCGGCCCUCGGGUCGCGCCGGCGUGCCGGAAAGAUGACCAAACUUGAUCAUUUAGAGGAAGUAAAAKCGUAMAAGGU
rnacentral:rRNA from 1 species